UACAGAGGUGGCAAGCGUUGUUCGGAAUUACUGGGCGUAAAGGGCGCGUAGGCGGCCUACUAAGUCAGACGUGAAAUCCCCCGGCUUAACCUGGGAACUGCGUCUGAUACUGGAAGGCUUGAGGAUGGGAGAGGGAUGUAGAAUUCCAGGUGUAGCGGUGAAAUGCGUAGAUAUCUGGAGGAAUACCGGUGGCGAAGGCGGCAUCCUGGACGGAUACUGACGCUGAGACGCGAAAGCGUGGGGAGCAAACAGG
rnacentral:rRNA from 1 species